rnacentral:sRNA from 1 species
UAGUAGUUCACAACGCAUUGUGUCACAGC